rnacentral:rRNA from 1 species
AGCGGCGGACGGGUGAGUAACGCGUGGGUAACCUGCCUCAUACAGGGGGAUAACAGUUGGAAACGGCUGCUAAUACCGCAUAAGCGCACAGUACCGCAUGGUACGGUGUGAAAAACUCCGGUGGUAUGAGAUGGACCCGCGUCUGAUUAGCUGGUUGGCGGGGUAACGGCCUACCAAGGCGACGAUCAGUAGCCGACCUGAGAGGGUGACCGGCCACAUUGGGACUGAGACACGGCCCAA